CUCCUUCCCAGAGCUGAGGAGCUUUCAUUUCCAAUGCCGUAGAUUAAACAGUUCCAAUCCAUUUAAACAGUUGCAGAACUAAAGCCCACAGACCUAUUGUCAAUUAAAGCUGUAAAUAUCCCACAGUCUGUACAAAAUGAAACCUUUAAAAAAGAACAGCAGCACCACAGUUUUUCACUCCUUGAUCACUACACCUGCCUCAUUAAUCUCCUGCACCCAUGUGAGGUAAAUACAUGGUACAACUAUAAACUAAAAUCAAUAAUACCUUUAAAAAGGUUUAAUUUGAUUCUACCAGGGAGGUUAUCAUAAUCCUACUCCGCUUUCUCACAUUCUGCUAGCAAUUUCUCAGCUCAGUUUCCACUGCUAACUUUGUUCUCCAUCCCCCUAUCUAUCAUGCUGCUAUAAUGCCAGCUCAAACGCUGUUUGUAACAGCGCAGCAAUUUCUCAGAAGUUGCCAGCUUCAUAGUGCGUUCCUUUAGAAGUGCAUGGAAAUUAUUAGAUUAAAUUACAAAUGAGAGACUCUGCAGUCAGUCGUGAUUACCGGACCAUUUAUGUACAUUCGGCUGAUCGUGAAUUUUAACAUUUGUUCCUCCGCAUCUUUGCAGACCUUCUGUUUACAUCCUGUUUUUCAAGAUGAUAUAAGAAGUGAAACUGAAGACAACUGGAAGAGAGCCCCACAUUUUCCCAAAGAAAGGGCAGUGGCACACACGCACUCAACUCCUUCCCGGCCUAAGUGCCAACAGAACCUCCACAAGCAUCGUAAAAAGCUCUGUUAAUAUCAGGACAUAUCGCAGAACGCUUCUGGAAGGAAGAACUGCACGGCAAUCUGCUUCACAAAGGAAGACCUGUGACAACACAGUUCUGUCCUCUGUUCUGUAAGAUUUCACACACCAGCACCAGACCAAACAGCUCACAUACACAGAAAUAUCUGAAGAGAACGCUGAUAAUAUUGCAGCUGGUGAUCAUAACAGAGUAAGCAGCAGGAUCUUCGAUUAUCUCACUGCUGCAGAUAAGCCGGCUGUCACAAAUGUUGAAGUAUUAAAACAGCUUUGCAGCAGACACAACCACGAAAGAAAAUAAGGGGCAUAAACCAAACAUUUCUACUGCUUUGAAGGGUUUGCUGAGUCAAGCGAGGAUUCCUGCAGACAGACAGCUGCGUGCACAUGGAGCUGCGCUGAUGGUACCACUCCUCCCUGCAUGCCGCCCCAGAGCCCGGCGCUGCCGGCUCGGAUCGUGCUGCAGAACCAUGGCCCAAGUGGGAAAAUUCCUACACCUGUGCACACUUGAACAUACAAGCUUCCAGGCAGCUGCUCUAAAAAUACAUUCACCUGUACCAGGCACAUAGUAAGGUCAUGCUGCUGCUGUAGGAAACCACGUGAAAGAAGCAAGAAGUAAAAUUUGAUUUCAAUAAUUAACAAUAACAAUAGUAAAA